AAGCGUACACGGUGGAUGCCUUGGCAAUCAGAGGCGAAGAAGGACGUGCUAAUCUGCGAUAAGCUUGGAUGAGUUGAUAAGAAGCGUUUAAUCCAAGAUUUCCGAAUGGGGAAACCCACUAGAUGAAGAAUCUAGUAUUUACUACUGAAUACAU
rnacentral:sRNA from 1 species